UACGGAAGGUGCAAGCGUUGUUCGGAAUUAUUGGGCGUAAAGAGUACGUAGGCGGAUUUGUAUGUCGAUUGUGAAAUCCCAGGGCUUAACCUUGGAAUUGCAGUCGAAACUGCGGAUCUUGAAUACCUGAGAGGGUGGAAGAAUUCCUGGUGGAGAAGUGAAAUUCGUAGAGAUCAGGAGGAAUACCGGAGGCGAAGGCGCCUGCCUGGCAGUGUAUUGACGCUGAGGUACGAAAGCGUGGGGAGCAAACAGG
rnacentral:rRNA from 1 species